UACGUAGGGUGCGAGCGUUAAUCGGAAUUACUGGGCGUAAAGCGUGCGCAGGCGGUUGUGCAAGACCGAUGUGAAAUCCCCGGGCUUAACCUGGGAAUGGCAUUGGUGACUGCACGGCUAGAGUGUGUCAGAGGGGGGUAGAAUUCCACGUGUAGCAGUGAAAUGCGUAGAGAUGUGGAGGAAUACCGAUGGCGAAGGCAGCCCCCUGGGAUAACACUGACGCUCAUGCAUGAAAGCGUGGGGAGCAAACAGG
rnacentral:rRNA from 1 species